rnacentral:rRNA from 1 species
AGUGAACGCUGGCGGUAGGCCUAACACAUGCAAGUCGAACGGCAGCACAGUAAGAGCUUGCUCUUACGGGUGGCGAGUGGCGGACGGGUGAGGAAUACAUCGGAAUCUACUUUUUCGUGGGGGAUAACGUAGGGAAACUUACGCUAAUACCGCAUACGACCUACGGGUGAAAGCAGGGGAUCUUCGGACCUUGCGCGAUUGAAUGAGCCGAUGUCGGAUUAGCUAGUUGGCGGGGUAAAGGCCCACCAAGGCGACGAUCCGUAGCUGGUCUGAGAGGAUGGGCAGCCACACUGGGAGUGAGACAGGGGCCAGAGUCAUACGGGAAGGAGCCAGGGGGAAAAUGGGGGAAGGGGUGGAAGAUAGAUCCAAAGAUGCGGCGGGGGGAAAGAGGGACGUCGGGUGGGGAAGGCCGUAGGUUGGGAAGGAAAAGGAGCAGGAUGAUAACGAGGUGUGAGGAAGGGAACUGGAGAAGGAACAACGGCUAAAUUAGUG